GUGUCAGCCGCCGCGGUAAGACGAACCGUGCGAACGUUGUUCGGAAUCACUGGGCUUAAAGGGCGCGUAGGCGGGUCCUCAAGUCCGGGGUGAAAUCCUCUCGCUCAACGAGAGAACUGCCCCGGAUACUGAGGACCUCGAGGGAGGUAGGGGCAUGUGGAACUUCCGGUGGAGCGGUGAAAUGCGUAGAUAUCGGAAGGAACGCCGGUGGCGAAAGCGAUGUGCUGGACCUCUUCUGACGCUGAGGCGCGAAAGCCAGGGGAGCGAACGGGAUUAGAAACCCGCGUAGUCC
rnacentral:rRNA from 1 species